GAUGAACGCUGGCGGCGUGCCUAAUACAUGCAAGUCGAGCGAACAGACGAGGAGCUUGCUCCUCUGACGUUAGCGGCGGACGGGUGAGUAACAUGUGGAUAACCUACCUAUAAGACUGGGAUAACUUCGGGAAACCGGAGCUAAUACCGGAUAAUAUAUUGAACCGCAUGGUUCAAUAGUGAAAGACGGUUUUGCUGUCACUUAUAGAUGGAUCCGCGCCGCAUUAGCUAGUUGGUAAGGGAACGGCUUACCAAGGCAACGAUGCGUAGCCGACCUGAGAGGGUGAUCGGCCACACUGGAACUGAGACACGGUCCAGACUCCUACGGGAGGCAGCAGUAGGGAAUCUUCCGCAAUGGGCGAAAGCCUGACGGAGCAACGCCGCGUGAGUGAUGAAGGUCUUCGGAUCGUAAAACUCUGUUAUUAGGGAAGAACAAAUGUGUAAGUAACUAUGCACGUCUUGACGGUACCUAAUCAGAAAGCCACGGCUAACUACGUG
rnacentral:rRNA from 1 species